rnacentral:rRNA from 1 species
UACGUAGGGUGCAAGCGUUAAUCGGAAUUACUGGGCGUAAAGCGUGCGCAGGCGGUGAUGUAAGACAGAUGUGAAAUCCCCGGGCUCAACCUGGGCACUGCAGUUGGAACUGGCAAGCUAGAGUAGGGUAGAGGGGUGUGGAAUUCCAGGUGUAGCGGUGAAAUGCGCAGAUAUCAGGAGGAACACCGGUGGCGAAGGCAGCUCGCUGGGACGGUACUGACGCUGAGACGCGAAAGCGUGGGGAGCAAACAGG